rnacentral:rRNA from 1 species
GAAACCCCCGGAGAGAGAGGUCAGGAUGGGAGGCUUACCUGCAAGUCGAGCGGGGAAAGGUAGCUUGCGUACUUGACCUAGCGGCGGACGGGUGAGUAAUGCUUAGGAAUCUGCCUAUUAGUGGGGGACAACAUCUCGAAAGGGAUGCUAAUACCGCAUACGUCCUACGGGAGAAAGCAGGGGAUCUUCGGGCCUUGCGCUAAUAGAUGAGCCUAAGUCGGAUUAGCUAGUUGGUGGGGUAAAGGCCUACCAAGGCGACGAUCUGUAGCGGGUCUGAGAGGAUGAUCCGCCACACUGGGACUGAGACACGGCCCAGACUCCUACGGGAGGCAGCAGUGGGGAAUAUUGGACAAUGGGGGGAACCCUGAUCCAGCCAUGCCGCGUGUGUGAAGAAGGCCUUUUGGUUGUAAAGCACUUUAAGCGAGGAGGAGGCUACCGAAAUUAAUACUCUUGGAUAGUGGACGUUACUCGCAGAAUAAGCACCGGCUAACUCUGUGCCAGCAGCCGCGGUAAUACAGAGGGUGCAAGCGUUAAUCGGAUUUACUGGGCGUAAAGCGCGCGUAGGUGGCCAAUUAAGUCAAAUGUGAAAUCCCCGAGCUUAACUUGGGAAUUGCAUUCGAUACUGGUUGGCUAGAGUAUGGGAGAGGAUGGUAGAAUUCCAGGUGUAGCGGUGAAAUGCGUAGAGAUCUGGAGGAAUACCGAUGGCGAAGGCAGCCAUCUGGCCUAAUACUGACACUGAGGUGCGAAAGCAUGGGGAGCAAACAGGAUUAGAUACCCUGGUAGUCCAUGCCGUAAACGAUGUCUACUAGCCGUUGGGGCCUUUGAGGCUUUAGUGGCGCAGCUAACGCGAUAAGUAGACCGCCUGGGGAGUACGGUCGCAAGACUAAAACUCAAAUGAAUUGACGGGGGCCCGCACAAGCGGGGGAGCAUGUGGUUUAAUUCGAUGCAACGCGAAAAAACCUUACCUGGGCUUGACAUAGUAAGAACUUUCCAAAAAUGGAUUGGUGCCUUCGGGAAACUUAAAUACCAGGGGCUGCAUGGCUGGCGUCAGCUC